CCCCUGGGCCCACUCUGCUCUGCCAGCCCCGGGUCCCCAGCGGGGCGCGGCCCCAGAGCCUGCUCGCUGCCCGGGCACCUCGAGGAGGAGGAGGAGGACUGGGCCCUGGACGUGAAGCACAUCCCCUGCGUGUCCGAGAUGGUGGCUGGCACACGAGCUGCUAGUGCGCAGGGGCAGCGGAGCCCGGAGGCAUCGGGGAGCUCUGCCCUAAGAGAUGGCCACGCCCCCCCUGACCUGGUGACCCCGCUCUGACCAUGGCCCCCAGAGCUGGGUCUGGAGCUUGCACAGGAAGCUGUUUGCCUCGCGCAGCCGCACGGGGCAGGAUCGGAGCAUGGAGGCUGCCAGGAACAGGACGGUGUGAGCCUUGGGCACCGCCCACCACACGCGGUGCCCCAUGGGGUCAGCCCCUCCCUCUGCAUUGACUCCGAGCCUCCGCCCCCAGAUCCUGACCUCCCCGCUCCCCCCACAUGGGGGCCUUAGCCACUGCCCCAUGGAUUCUGCCCUUCCUACCCCAUAGCCUUUACCCCAGAUCCUGCUUUUCCCACCCCCCACCUCAUGACUCCUCCUGGUGUUCUCACUCAGCCAUUCUUCCACGUGCAAGUGCACGCGCACAGUGAUCCCUGUCUCACCCUGCCAUCUUUCCAUGUGCAACUGCACAAUCACAGCAAUCCCUGUCUCACCCUGCCGUCCUUCCAUGUGCAACUGCACAAUCACAGC